rnacentral:rRNA from 1 species
AGUGAACGCUGGCGGUAGGCCUAACACAUGCAAGUCGAGCGGCAGCACAGUAAGAGCUUGCUCUUACGGGUGGCGAGUGGCGGACGGGUGAGGAAUACAUCGGAAUCUACUUUUUCGUGGGGGAUAACGUAGGGAAACUUACGCUAAUACCGCAUACGACCUACGGGUGAAAGCAGGGGAUCUUCGGACCUUGCGCGAUUGAAUGAGCCGAUGUCGGAUUAGCUAGUUGGCGGGGUAAAGGCCCACCAAGGCGACGAUCCGUAGCUGGUCUGAGAGGAUGAUCAGCCACACUGGAACUGAGACACGGUCCAGACUCCUACGGGAGGCAGCAGUGGGGAAUAUUGGACAAUGGGCGCAAGCCUGAUCCAGCCAUACCGCGUGGGUGAAGAAGGCCUUCGGGUUGUAAAGCCCUUUUGUUGGGAAAGAAAAGCAGCAGGUUAAUACCCCGCUGUUCUGACGGUACCCAAAGAAUAAGCACCAGCUAACUUCGUG